CCUACGGGAGGCUGCAGUGAGGAAUAUUGGUCAAUGGGCGUAAGCCUGAACCAACCAAGUCGCGUGAGGGAUGAAGGUUCUAUGGAUCGUAAACCUCUUUUAUAAGGGAAUAAGGUGUGGGACGUGUCCUGUUUUGUAUGUACCUCGUGAAUAAGGAUCGGCUAACUCCGUGCCAGCAGCCGCGGUAAUACGGAGGAUCCGAGCGGUAUCCGGGUUUAUUGGGGUUAAAGGGUGCGUAGGCGGCCUGUUAAGGUAGCGGUGAAAGUGUGUGGCUCAAACAGAGGCGUGCCGUUGAAACUGGGAGGCUUGAGUAUGUGUGAGGUAGGCGGAAUGCGUGGUGUAGCGGUGAAAUGCUUAGAUAUCACGCAGAACCCCGAUUGCGAAGGCAGCCUGCCAGGCCAUGACUGACGCUGAGGCACGAAAGCGUGGGGAUCAAACAGGAUUAGAUACCCUAGUAGUC
rnacentral:rRNA from 1 species